rnacentral:rRNA from 1 species
UACGUAGGGGGCAAGCGUUGUCCGGAAUCAUUGGGCGUAAAGCGCGUGUAGGCGGCUCGAUAAGUCUGCUGUGAAAGUCCAGGGCUCAACCCUGGGAUGCCGGUGGAUACUGUCGAGCUCGAGUCCGGAAGAGGUGUGUGGAAUUCCUGGUGUAGCGGUGAAAUGCGUAGAUAUCUGGAGGAACACCGGUGGCGAAGGCGGCAUCCUGGACCGGCAUUGACGCUGAGGCGCGAAAGCCAGGGGAGCAAACAGG